AGUAGCCGCGGUAAUUCCAGCUCCAAUAGCGUAUAUUAAAGUUGUUGCAGUUAAAAAGCUCGUAGUUGAAUUUCGAGACCAAUUUGUUGGUCGUGCCUCGGUACGUACUGGUAUUAUUGGUUUCUCCCUUCUGAAGAACCUCGAUGUCAUUAAUUUGGUGUCGUGGGGAAUCAGGACUGUUACUUUGAAAAAGUUAGAGUGUUUAAAGCAGGCAUACGCUUGAAUACAUUAGCACGGAAUAAUGAAAUAGGACGUUUGAUUCUAUUUUGUUGGUUUCUAGGAUCGACGUAAUGAUUAAUAGGGAUAGUUGGGGGCAUUAGUAUUCAAUUGUCAGAGGUGAAAUUCUUGGAUUUAUUGAAGACUAACUACUGCGAAAGCAUUUGCCAAGGAUGUUUUCAUU
rnacentral:rRNA from 1 species